rnacentral:rRNA from 1 species
GAUGAACGCUGACAGAAUGCUUAACACAUGCAAGUCAACUGUGGCGGACGGGUGAGUAACGCGUAAAGAACUUGCCUCACGGAUAGGGACAACAUUUGGAAACGAAUGCUAAUACCUGAUACUGUGAGAGAGCUUUGCGUCCCAUUAGCUAGUUGGAGAGGUAACGGCUCGCCAAGGCGAUGAUGGGUAGCCGGCCUGAGAGGGUGAUCGGCCACAAGGGGACUGAGGCACGGCCCUUAGUCCUACGGGAGACAUCAGUGGGGAAUAGUGGACAAUGGACCAAAGUCUGAGCCAGCAAUUCUGUGUGCACGAUGAAGUUUUCGGAAUGAAAAGUGCUUUCAGUUGGGAAGCGGUACCAACAGAAGAAGUGACGGCUAAAUACGUGCCAGCAGCCGCGGUAAUAC